rnacentral:lncRNA from 1 species
UGUGACAUGCAAUUACUCGAUGGGUAAAAGAGUCCGAUAAUCGAACAGAUAUGAGUACAAAUAAAAUUUAUACAUUGGAAGAAAAAUCAUCCCUUACAAAAUAUUUGAUGUUUAGAUACACUUGAGGCCAAGAAGAUGGCUAACCAAAAUAUACACAACAUUAUUCCAGCCACUUCUAACAUUACAAAAAGAAUAGUUCAUGUGAUAUCCCAAAUACUUAAUGGAUAAAAGGGAAUCAACUACUUAAGUAGUUACUAGUGCUAAAAAGAAUUUUUGACAUUGAAGCGGAAAUUAGAAAUCCCUUACAGAACAAACUAAGUUUUAAGGACUUACAUCAAAGACCAUAAUUUGGCAGUCUUAAUUAAUUGAAUACAAAAGUGGAGUUCUUACAGAAUUUUUACAUCAGAAUGCAGAAUAACUAUUAUACUCGAAUUAUAUCGUAAAAAAUUACUAAGGAUCCGUGGAUGGUUCUAAUCAAACUUCGAGAUAACUCGGAGAGUAAAUCCUCAACUUACUCAGUAUCUAGGGGGGCACGAAUUAGGAGCGAGUUCUCUAUAAACUCAGUAAGGGAAACGAUAUUUACAUCACACGGCUAAGUUUUAAAAAGUAAACAACUUGAAUAAUACUUUAUGUACCUCCUACUUCGGAGAACUGUUGUGGGAUAAAGAUAUUUAAUUAUUCAGAAAAAUCUUUUAUUAUUAAGGAAAUCCGG